AGAAAUUCACGAUGAAGGCAAAGAUAUGUAAACAGUCGUCUGCAAGACACUGUCGUUCUUUCUACACACCAAAAACAUGCCUAAACGCAAAAAAAUAACAAACGGAGAGGAAAUAAUGGACGCAUUGGUGGAAGAUAUCUUCCGCUAUGAAGAAUUGGCCGAACUUGAGGCGGAGACAAUUAGAAACAAUGUGACAGGCGUCGCAAACUCUGUACGUUAUGAGGAACUAGAAGUUGAAGUUGAACAACCAACCAUGCCACAGACUAACAUGACUGCCCAAUUAUUACGGGAUGAUGAUCAUGACGACGAUAACAAAGAAAAUGAUGAGGAGAGUGUAGGUAGAUUCAAAAUAUAAACCGAUGAAGAGACUGAUCAAUUUCUGGACAUUAAUAAGAACAAAAACACUGGAUCAAAGACCAAAAGCGAUGUUAAAAUUGUGAGAGACUUCUUCAUAUCAGUUGGUGAAAUGAGGGACCCAACAGAAAUUCUCCCUUAAGAUCUGGACAGUCUGUUAGCAAGAUUCUUUUUGGGAGUCAGAAAGAGAGACUUGUCAGAAUAUGAACCAGACAGUCUACAUGGGAUUCAUAAUAGCUUGGAUAGAUACUUCAGGGAUAUGAAACUUACUAUAAGUAUAAAAAAAGAUCCAGAGUUUGCCCACUCAAGACGAGUACUGGAGACAAAAAAGAAAUCCCUGAAAUCCAUGGGAAAAGGCAAUAAACCAAAUAAAGCUGAAUCCUUGACAGGAGAAGAAAUUGGCAUCCUAAGGGGAAAAGGAAUUAUUGGUACACAAAAUCCAGAAGCACUACUAAAUGCAAUUUGGUUGAACAAUGGUGCAUAUUUUGGUCUGAGAGGUAGACAGGAUCAUGUCAAUAUGUUGUGGGGAGAUGUCCUACUAAAAAAAAACAUCCAGUGGAAAGGAAUAUUUAGAAU